AUGAAAGUUGAUGCGGACAUUGUCAAUCGCAACACCAGUACCAGAAAUAGAAAUCUAAAACAAAAAAAAUCAAGUGAACAUGUAUCUUGGAUCUCAAAACAAAAGUGCUGUAAAGGCAAAGUGGAAUUACGAGAUUCGCAAAGCAAGAAAUCAAAGAUGAUAAAUGUUGUAUCAGAUGAAAAAGGAACUCAUUUGAUACUAAUGAUCUUGGAAAAAAGGAACCCAAAACCCGAUCAAGAAAUUGAACCGAAAGUUUCUUAA